UAGUGGCGAACGGGUGAGUAACACGUGGGCAAUCUGCCCUUCACUCUGGGACAAGCCCUGGAAACGGGGUCUAAUACCGGAUAACACUCCUGUCCUCAUGGACGGGGGUUAAAAGCUCCGGCGGUGAAGGAUGAGCCCGCGGCCUAUCAGCUUGUUGGUGAGGUAAUGGCUCACCAAGGCGACGACGGGUAGCCGGCCUGAGAGGGCGACCGGCCACACUGGGACUGAGACACGGCCCAGACUCCUACGGGAGGCAGCAGUGGGGAAUAUUGCACAAUGGGCGAAAGCCUGAUGCAGCGACGCCGCGUGAGGGAUGACGGCCUUCGGGUUGUAAACCUCUUUCAGCAGGGAAGAAGCGAAAGUGACGGUACCUGCAGAAGAAGCGCCGGCUAACUACGUGCCAGCAGCCGCGGUAAUACGUAGGGCGCAAGCGUUGUCCGGAAUUAUUGGGCGUAAAGAGCUCGUAGGCGGCUUGUCACGUCGAUUGUGAAAGCCCGAGGCUUAACCUCGGGUCUGCAGUCGAUACGGGCUA
rnacentral:rRNA from 1 species